rnacentral:rRNA from 1 species
GAUGAACGCUGGCGGCGUGCCUAAUACAUGCAAGUCGAGCGAACGGACGAGAAGCUUGCUUCUCUGAUGUUAGCGGCGGACGGGUGAGUAACACGUGGAUAACCUACCUAUAAGACUGGGAUAACUUCGGGAAACCGGAGCUAAUACCGGAUGAUAUUUUGAACCGCAUGGUUCAAAAGUGAAAGACGGUCUUGCUGUCACUUAUAGAUGGAUCCGCGCUGCAUUAGCUAGGUGGUAAGGUAACGGCUUACCAAGGCAACGAUGCAUAGCCGACCUGAGAGGGUGAUCGGCCACACUGGAACUGAGACACGGUCCAGACUCCUACGGGAGGCAGCAGUAGGGAAUCUUCCGCAAUGGGCGAAAGCCUGACGGAGCAACGCCGCGUGAGUGAUGAAGGUCUUCGGAUCGUAAAACUCUGUUAUUAGGGAAGAACAUAUGUGUAAGUAACUGUGCACAUCUUGACGGUACCUAAUCAGAAAGCCACGGCUAACUACGUG